GACCUCAGUUGGUAGCUCAGUUGGUAGAGCAACGCACUAGUAACGCGGAGGUCAUGGGUUCAAAUCCCGUUGAAGCCA
rnacentral:tRNA from 1 species